UACGGAGGGUGCAAGCGUUGUUCGGAAUCACUGGGCGUAAAGGGCGUGUAGGCGGUCCGCUAAGUCUGAUGUGAAAGCCCGGGGCUCACCCCCGGAAGGGCAUUGGAAACUGGCGGACUCGAGUCCCGGAGAGGAAGGUGGAAUUCCUGGUGUAGCGGUGAAAUGCGUAGAUAUCAGGAGGAAUACCGGUGGCGAAGGCGGCCUUCUGGACGGUGACUGACGCUGAGACGCGAAAGCGUGGGGAGCGAUCCGG
rnacentral:rRNA from 1 species